CGGCUACAUCACGCUGAAACAUCGAUUUCCAUGUGAUCACCGAAGUUAAGCAACGUUGAGCCUGGUUAGUAACUAGAUCGGUGACCGUUUAGGAAUACUAAGUGUCGUAA